rnacentral:tRNA from 1 species
UUAAAAUAAAGCGAUAUAAUUGCAUUCAGUUUCGGCCUGAAUUUAGAGUUUUUCUAUUUUUUAAU